ACGGGCUUCGGUCUGGUGGCGAGUGGCGAACGGGUGAGUAAAGUAUCGGAACGUACCUUUCAGUGGGGGAUAACGUAGCGAAAGUUACGCUAAUACCGCAUAUUCUGUGAGCAGGAAAGCAGGGGAUCGCAAGACCUUGCGCUGAUUGAGCGGCCGAUAUCAGAUUAGCUAGUUGGUGGGGUAAAGGCCUACCAAGGCGACGAUCUGUAGCGGGUCUGAGAGGAUGAUCCGCCACACUGGAACUGAGACACGGUCCAGACUCCUACGGGAGGCAGCAGUGGGGAAUUUUGGACAAUGGGGGCAACCCUGAUCCAGCCAUGCCGCGUGAGUGAAGAAGGCCUUCGGGUUGUAAAGCUCUUUCGGCCGGGAAGAAAUCGCAUGGGCUAAUACCCUGUGUGGAUGACGGUACCGGAAUAAGAAGCACCGGCUAACUACGUGCCAGCAGCCGCGGUAAUACGUAGGGUGCGAGCGUUAAUCGGAAUUACUGGGCGUAAAGCGUGCGCAGGCGGUUUAGUAAGACAGGCGUGAAAUCCCCGGGCUCAACCUGGGAACUGCGCUUGUGACUGCUAAGCUAGAGUAC
rnacentral:rRNA from 1 species